GAGGGAUGCUGAAAGAGGGUAGACGGAGCUGUAAAUUUCUCUAGACUACCCAUCCGCAGAGCAUACAGGAAGCAAACACCCAACUUUACCUGAUGAAGCCCCUCAGCUAAUUUGUCAGCUUCCGCAAACUGAGGCCUUCCAACUGGCAAGACCGGAGCCCUUUGCUGUAGGACAAUGUUCUAUGGUCCCCAUUAAUUCCUUC
rnacentral:lncRNA from 1 species